AAGCAUAUUCUGUAAAAUGUUUACAUUUGUGGAUGAUUUCCCUUCCCAGAGCCACCAUCCUUAGAUAGAUACUGCCAUAGAUCUCAUAAAUAAUAACUCCACAGCUUUCUUAGGCGCGUCAAUUGGUGCGUGCAAGAUUCAAACUUCUGUUAUCUUUCUCAGCUGCACCUUCAUAAAUAACACAAGGGAACCAAUUUCUGACUUUUUAUUCACCAACCCAUCUCUCUGUUUCUAAAUCUUGGCUGUUUGAAGUCGUAUAUAUUGAUUAUGCACAAUUUUGGGGAUGAAUUCACAAUAGAAAGCUACAGAAUCCCAUGGCUUGUAUGGAUCCAGGUGAUGGUGAUGAUCCUCCUCCUCAUUCUUCUCUUCUGCUUCAGCAUCUUAGUCUUAGAUCUCGAUGACCACAGCAACACCACCACCACCACCAGCAACAACAAGCCUUCAUCUUCUUCCACUAGCCGCUUAGUUUCUGAU